UAACCAAUCAAGCCUAGCUUGGUAUUGGAGUUCGCGGCUCUGCGACUCUCAAACACAAUAGCAGUCUAAAUUAGACCCUAAGUGCAGUAAAUUUUCUCGCUUCUGGGCUUAAUGGUGGCUUGCUAAAACCUAAUUUCUUAA
rnacentral:misc_RNA from 1 species